rnacentral:snRNA from 1 species
GUGGGUCCUGUCUUUGCCAUCACACACACACUCGUGCUGAAACCAUAAAUUGAUUAGCAUGGCCUCUGCACCAGGAUGAUACUCAAGUUCUUAAAGUAUUCUAUAUUUCA